rnacentral:rRNA from 1 species
UACGGGGGGGGCAAGCGUUGUUCGGAAUCACUGGGCGUAAAGGGCGUGUAGGCGGCUGAAUAAGUGGGAUGUUAAAUCCCCCGGCUUAACCGGGGACCUGCAUCUCAUACUGUUCAGCUCGAGCACAUCAGAGGAGACUGGAAUUCCCGGUGUAGCGGUGAAAUGCGUAGAUAUCGUAAGGAAGACCAGUGGCGAAGGCGGGUCUCUGGACAGUUCCUGACACUGAGGCACGAAGGCCAGGGGAGCAAACGGG